rnacentral:rRNA from 1 species
UACGAAGGGGGCGAGCGUUGUUCGGAAUUACUGGGCGUAAAGGGCGCGUAGGCGGCCUUGGUAGUCAGAUGUGAAAGCCCCGGGCUCAACCUGGGAAUUGCAUUUGAUACUCCGAGGCUGGAGUUCGGGAGAGGAGAGUGGAAUUCCCAGUGUAGAGGUGAAAUUCGUAGAUAUUGGGAAGAACACCGGUGGCGAAGGCGGCUCACUGGCUCGUAUCUGACGCUCAGGCGCGACAGCGUGGGGAUCAAACAGG